AGACUGUAAUAAGGUUGUUUAAAAAAAAAUUGAGAGAAUCAAUCUCUUUAAAAGAAUUUAAAAACACUUUUACUUGAGUAUAAAAAAAGAUUGUAGAAUUUUAAAGGGAGAAGUAAAAUUCGAAGAGCUUUAAAGGAAUAUCAAAAGCGAAAGCAACAAUCUGGUUUAUAAUAACUGACGUUGAGGAACGAAAGAAUAGGUAGCAAACAGGAUUAGAGACCCUGGUAGUCUAUUUUCUGUAAACGAUGAGUGUUCGUAUUUAGAAUAUUAUAUUUUAGAUACUAAGUUAACACGUUAAACACUCCACCUGAGGAGUAUAGUCGCAAGUCUGGAACUCAAAGGAAUUGACGGGGGCCUAUACAAGUGGUGGAGUAUGUGGUUUAAUGCGAUAAUACGCGCGAAAUCUUACCAGCUUUUGAAUUCUUUCUUUUUAAAAGUAAUAGUGUUUAUUUUUAAAAUAUUAAGAACAGGUGUUGCAUGGCUGUCGGCAGCUCGUGUUGUGAAAUGUUUGGUUAAGUCCUUUAACGAGCGCAACUCUUUUUUUUAGUUGCAACUUUUAGUGCACUCUAAAGAUAUUAUUUAUGAUGAGUGAAUGGAAGGAGAAUUACGUCAAGUCCUCAUGGCCCUUAUAAGCUGGGCUACACACGUACUACAAUGGUAAUUACAAAACGCAGCAAUAACGUAAGUUGGAGCAAAUCGUCUAAAAGUUAUCUUAGUUCAGAUUGUUGACUGUAACUCGUCAACAUGAAGUUGGAAUCACUAGUAAUCGUAAAUCAGAAUGUUACGGUGAAUUUGUACCUAGGCCUUGUACAUACCGCCCGUCACAUGCCGGGAGUUAGUUUUACUUUAAGAAAGUGGAAAUAACUUAUAGAAA
rnacentral:rRNA from 1 species